UGAAGUCUGAAGGUAUUAUAGCCAGGUUUAUGUCGCUUUAAAAUGGCAAUUUCAGAUUCAUAUAAGGAUUUCACUAUUUCAGUAAACACCGUGGAGAUUUUAAGAUCUCUUUUGAGAUUGCUGCAAAAUAAACGGACUGUUUGCCUUCAGUACACUAUGGAAUUUGGCCUUUUAUUACGUUUACUUUCACAUUUAUUUGAAGGGGGUGUUCAAAGGUGUUUUCAGAAGCAUUUGCUAUAUUUAAAACUUAGUCAGACUAUCUGGUAAAUGGUUAGGAAAAUGGUCAAGAUAAUUCUCAAUGCCACUACCACGAGCUACCUGAAUAUUUCGUUCGUAACUUUACAGCCAGAAGAGACGAAUAAAGUUGUGUACUGGGUGCCGAUUGGAGUAGUUAUUGCAGCAUUUGCAGUCUUUGGUAUUUAUAUAUUUUUAAUCAGCAUUGGUGUACUUGAACCAGCACACCCAUCUAAAAGCAAAAAAGGUCAAGCUGUCGUAAUAAAGAACCAAGCCCGUGCAGUCUCAUUAAACUUACCACAAGACAUGAUACCCUCCACUUCGUCACAUUUACCAUGAUAACUUAUUGCAUUUGUAUUUUAUAUUUGACCUUUAAAGGAAUGGGGUAAGAUGUGGCGUUUUCAUGCUCUUUUCUCAUCUCAAACAAAAAGUAUUUACAGAUUUUACAACCUUAGCCCAGCAACUUAAAAAGAGCGUUGAUAUUUCUUUAAAACACGACCAGGAAAUAUUAUGUUUAGGUGUUAAUGGUAUCUCAUCACGCCCCACAGUACUAUAUACAUGUUAUGUACAGUAAAGGCUAUAUACAAGCCCCGAAGAGAAAUUGGUUUGUUUUUUUACGUUACACGCGCUUCUGAAUUUAAAUACAAAAAAAGUAUUAUGCUG